rnacentral:rRNA from 1 species
UAGGGAGUAUUUGGCAAUGGGGGAAACCCUGACCGAGCAACGCCGCGUGUGUGAUGAAGGCCUUCGGGUUGUAAAACACUGUGAUUCGCUGGGAAACUCAGGAGGAGUGGAAAGCCUUCUGACUGACCGGCCUAUUAGAAAGCAACUGCUAACUACGUGCCAGCAGCAGCGGUAAUACGUAGGUUGCAAGCGUUAUCCGGAAUUAUUGGGCGUAAAGAGUGAGCAGGCGGCUUUGUAAGCCAGGGGUUAAAUGCAGCAGCUUAACUGCUGUUCGUCCCUGGAACUGCAUGGCUAGAGUGCUGGAGAGGCAAGCGGAACUCCACAUGUAGCGGUGAAAUGCGCAGAUAUGUGGAAGAACACCAGUGGCGAAGGCGGCUUGCUAGACAGUAACUGACGCUCAGUCACGAAAGCGUGGGGAGCAAAUAGG